GGGCUAGCGUUGUUCGGAAUUACUGGGCGUAAAGCGUACGUAGGCGGCUUUGUAAGUUAGAGGUGAAAGCCCGGGGCUCAACUCCGGAAUUGCCUUUAAGACUGCAUCGCUUGAAUCAUGGAGAGGUGAGUGGAAUUCCGAGUGUAGAGGUGAAAUUCGUAGAUAUUCGGAAGAACACCAGUGGCGAAGGCGACUCACUGGACAUGUAUUGACGCUGAGGUACGAAAGCGUGGGGAGCAAACAGG
rnacentral:rRNA from 1 species